rnacentral:rRNA from 1 species
CCUACGGGAGGCAGCAGUGAGGAAUAUUGGUCAAUGGGCGCAAGCCUGAACCAGCCAAGUCGCGUGAGGGAAGACGGCGCUACGGGUUGUAAACCUCGUUUGCCGGGGAGCAAGCCUGAGCACGUGUGCCCAGACGGAGAGUACCCGGCGAAAAAGCAUCGGCUAACUCCGUGCCAGCAGCCCCGGUAGGACGGAGGAAGCGAGCGUUAUCCGGAUGUAUUGGGUUUAAGGGGUGCGCGGGCGGGCUGUUGAGCCGGCGGGAAAAACUCAGGCCUAAACCCUGUCGAGCAGUCGAAACUGGCAGACGUGAGUGCGCGAGAAGUAUGCGGAACGCGAGGUGUAGCGGUGAAAUGCGUAGAUAUCACGCAGAACGCCGAUGGCGAAGGCAGCAGACCGG